UCUUCAUUUCGCACACUCUCUCGCCGGUCAGAUAGGCGAGAGAGUGUGUGAAUUGAAGAUA
rfam:Pristionchus pacificus strain PS312 contig9178, whole genome shotgun sequence.